rnacentral:lncRNA from 1 species
ACUCGUGCACCAGAAUUGCAAACUGAAAACUAGGUACACAUUGUAAAACUAGAAAUGAAAGUUGAACUAGAUAUACUGACACAAUGUAAUGAGACAAGGCCAUGACUACAGGACCACUCAAAUUUGGCUUCAAAACCUACCAUACUGACCUGCUAGGCGCAUUCAGUUAGAGAAAAUGUGCAGCAUAACCAGCAGCAUGAGGCAGAGAAUGAUAUAUAAAUGUUCAGCUGCUGGAAACCACCUACAGUGUCUCAUGAUUUUGCUAACAAAAAGGAAUUCUACCACUUCAGGGUUCAGG